AAAAAAAAAGAACGAAGAAAGAAAACUCAGUGUUGGCGAAGAGAAUGGAGCAGGAUUUGCCUGACGGCACAGGUUCUCGCGGGCAUCUUCGCAGAGCCUGCCGUCUGCAGCUUCCAUCCCAGAAACCAGACAUCAACAAGAGGGCCGUGGUUCAGUACUCCUCAGGAUGACGGUGCGGGAGUCCUGUGUGAGAGGAGACAGUGAACACCAGCGUCCAUUGCAAAUGUGCUGUUGGGGGCAGUGGUAUUGCUUGCCCUCAGGGCUGCAGAGGGCCAAGCUGUCCUUGAGGGAAGUACGGAUCCAACAGGCGGGCACUGUUCAUUCCGGAGACUUUGGGCUGAGAGGUGUCGUGUGGGAUAACGUGCAGUUGUACCUGGAUGCUGGAUAUUGGAAUCGAUUUGAGCCCUGGCGACUGCAGCUGCUGACAGGAGGCCUUCCAUCCAGUCCCCCCUUCCCUCCGAGGACUCACCUGAGCGCCGUGAGCAGGUUCGCAUUUCCAAGCAACCACGUGUCUUAAAGGAACCAUGCCCCAGCCUUGAUUUCCCAAAGUGACUAGGUAACUUCACAAGGUCUCAGGGAGAAGAAAAGAACUCAAGCGAAUGUCAUUUGAGAAUUGUCAAGGUCUGUUUUUAUCCGUGUGAUUUCUGAGAAAUACUUCCGGGAAGCUGUGCCUCCCCCAGCCCUGUCACAGGUGGGGCUUUCAGGAAGCACCUGCUGAUGUGCUGGGUGGGAGAUGUCCUGUGGCUGAGCAGCCGUGAGGGGGAGCAGGAGGAAGCAGGCGCUGAGGUGCAGUGAGUGUCCCACGGCCAGAGCGCAGCAGCCCCUGGAAUGAGCUGUGUGGAGUCCAGCAGAGAUGUCAGACGUUGACACGCCUGCCUUGCUCAGGCACUGUCUGACACAGCCCCUGGACUGCCGCGGUGGGACCAGAGCAGCUGUCUGCGGCCAACGCAGUCCUGACGUGCCCGCCGCACCAAGGAAGCCUGCACCUCACAGGUGCACGUCCAGGCUCGCCGUGCUCUCUGUGUGCCUCUCACACCGCCUUGCCGUGUCUCAGCACCGGCUCGUGUCCCCGAGGUGGUGUUCGUAGGUGGCUGGUUUGGUCCUGUGGCUCUCAGCCUCCUUGUGCCUGUGAGGGACUUGCAUGGCUCUGGUGUUGGUGCUCUGUGGAGACAGUGCUCUUCCUAGACUUCGGUGACUGCAUGGUCACUCUGUGGUGACUCCUGGGCUCCCCUUUCAUGUCCCAGGCAUGCGGGAGACACCUCCAACUCGAGGCCACGCUGAAGUCCCCUCCAUAGGGGGCCUCCUCUGCACGCCCAGCUUUGCUCUGAAAUGACCCGAAUGCCUUCCCGCGCGGCCUCCGCUCUUCCACCUCCACUCCAGAGUGUCCCUGCUCUUCCAUGUGCUUGACUUGAGUAGCAUGCUGGAUUCUGACCCAGGUCUUCACGCUCAUGAGUUUACUAGCGGUCGCUCCCUCCUCCGAUCAGCCCAGUGCACACGCAGCCCCUCACUCGCCUAGU
rnacentral:lncRNA from 1 species